rnacentral:snRNA from 1 species
AUACUUACCUGGUGCCGGGGCCCCAUUGAUUACCGAGAACGAGCCCCCAGGCCGACGCGCAGGCAUUGCACUGCGCUCGCGUUGACCCCAGCCACUACUCCAAACUAGGGGCAGAUGGGGCAUGCAGAUUGCUUAAAUGUGGUGCAACGCAAGAGAGGGCGCCACCGCC